ACCCACUUGGAAUUCGAGGCCCGGGCUUUUAAUAAGGUCCCUGUUGUGAAAGGCCGCAGCUGCGGAUGGUCGUGCCUCCCAGCCCCACACCCACCUGCGCACCGCUCCGGAGAUGCUCCCCUUGGAAAGUUAUUACAACAGAUCUUUACCGUGCUCCUGAAAAUGACAUUUUGGGAUUUGAAGAGAAACUAGACCGGCUGACACCUGUAGCUGAAGGAAGAUUGCCUUAAAGCGCAGACUCCUCGGCUCCACCGAGAGAUGCUUGCUCCUCCUCUCACAAGUCUGGCACCUUCAGCGCAUCCUGAGUAAGUGAAGCAUCUCCCUGGAGUCGGCAUGUUUUCUAAAGAUAACAGAUAACACUGUGUAGUAUAAACUCAUUUUUUCACCCAGUCGAAGUAAAAUGAGAUAGACUCAGUUCAAUCCCGUGGUUUCAGGUGGCUCUAUGGCUUAGUUGGUUAAAGCGCCUGUCUCGUAAACAGGAGAUCCUGGGUUCGACUCCCAGUAGGGCCUUGUGUUUUCCCAGGAAAUCAACCCUUUCUGAAGACCAUUUUGUUAGCGAGUUAACCGUGUCUUCUUACUGAUCCCCGGAAAGUCUCAGGAAACUUACAGCGGUGGAGCCCAACCGGAUACAUUGCAAAUUGCUUGAUUGCAACCUGCUCAGAUUCUUUUGAAAAGAAGUAGAUUCUUAAGGAAACGGCGAUUCAAAUGCAAACCACCACCAGAGAAUAGUGCAUGUGACCUUACCUCAAUCACGUUUCACAUAAAUUUUGCCUUAAACUGUAGCAAAAUGUUUUUGAGCACCUACAAUGUGUUACAGUUUAAAGCAUCCUGACAGGUAGAUAUGUAUAAUCUCUAUAGAUUCUAACAGUCUCCAACUCUGUAAUUGAUUUCACAAAAUUAGGUAAAUUAAUGAACUAUGAAUCCACUAAUACCUACAAAGGAAAAUUAAGAUGUUUGCAGGCGAAUGCUUGCCAUUUUGAAGGGGCGGUGAGGAAGAACAAUUACAUUCCCAUUUAAUCCUGUUAAGGAAAAAACUGGAAAGCUUAAGGAAUGAUGAUCAACCAGGAACUAGAAUGUUCUUGACAUGAGCACUCCCAGAGCCAGGACAAAGUUGCCGUGAGAAAAAAGCAGUUAGGAGAAUUCUGCCAGAUAUCUAAAGCAAUUUGGUUUCAGCCCUAGAUAUUUAUUUAUUCUAUGUCUUUUUGUCUCUCAUUCAUUCAUCCAUUAAUCCAGCAAUAUUAACUGCUGGUCUUUUAUGUGCCAGGCAUAUUUCUUGUGCCUUUGACCACUUUCACCCAUUUCACCCACCCCCCAUCCAUGCCUCUGGUAACCACCUCAGGCAUAUUUCUAAGGGCAGGAAAUAUAACAGUGAUCAAAGUUAACAAAAAUGACUACUCUCAUGGAUCUUACAUUCUGGUGGAGGUGACACAGAAAAUAAAGAAAUGAAUAUGCAAAAUAAGCAAGCGUAUGAGAUACUGAUGAAGUCUACAGAGAAAAAUAGAGCAAGGAAAGAGUAUGGGGAGUGUAUAGGGUGGGGCAGAGUAAUCAGAGAGCAUCAGCCUGUCUCUUGGAUAAAAUCACUGGCAAAUGUUUCAAAAUUAUUUUUUUCACUUUUUAAUGAGAAAUAGUCACAAAGUGGCUACUACAUUAAUCUAAGUACCAUGAAUGGCAGGAUUAAAUAAUCAGAAAAUUGUCCCCCAACUAUGCCUGGACCUCACCUCUGUUCAUUUUAAUUAGGACUCUUGAACUAGGUUACACUGCCUGUAUUCAAACUUCAGCUACUCCACUAGCUGAGGGACCUUUGGCAACUUACUUUACCUCAAUGGGCAUCACUUUCCUCAUAUGUGAAAAGGAAAUAGUGAGAGACCUCCCUAAUAGAGUCAAUGGGAGGACUUAAUGAGCAAUUUCACAUAAAAUAUUUUUAAAGGAUAUCUGGCACAUAAAUAAGCAAUCAAUAAAGUACACUAUAUUGUGCUAAUCAUUGUUUGUAUUUAUUGAAUAAUUGCUUGGGGUCAAAUGUAAAACUCUUGCAACAAUAUUCUGAGGUAUUAUUCUAAACUUACAGAUAAGAGUUCCAAGC
rnacentral:tRNA from 1 species